AUUGAACGCUGGCGGCAUGCCUUACACAUGCAAGUCGAACGGUAACAGGUCUUCGGAUGCUGACGAUUGGCGAGCGGGUGAGUAAUACAUCGGAACGUGCCUAGUAGUGGGGGAUAACUACUCGAAAGAGUGGCUAAUACCGCAUGAGAUCUACGGAUGAAAGCAGGGGAUCGCAAGACCACGUGUUCCUAGACCGGCCGAUGGCAGAUUAGGUAGUUGGUGGGAUAAAAGCUUACCAGGCCGACGAGCUGUAGCUGGUCUGGGAGGACGAGCAGCCACACUGGGACUGAGACACGGCCCAGACUCCUACGGGAGGCAGCAGUGGGGAAUUUUGGACAAUGGGCGCAAGCCUGAUCCAGCAAUGCCGCGUGCAGGAUGAAGGCCUUCGGGUUGUAAACUGCUUUUGUACGGAACGAAAAGCCCCGGGUUAAUACCCUGGGGUCAUGACGGUACCGUAAGAAUAAGCACCGGCUAACUACGUGCCAGCCGCCGCAGUAA
rnacentral:rRNA from 1 species